rnacentral:rRNA from 1 species
GCAAGUCGAACGGUAACAGGCCUAUGUGAUCCCUUCGGGGUGAACUUGGUGCUGACGAGUGGCGGACGGGUGAGUAAUGCAUAGGAAUCUGCCCUUUAGCGGGGGAUAACUCGGGGAAACUCGGGCUAAUACCGCAUACGCCCUACGGGGGAAAGCGGGGGCCUUCGGGCCUCGCACUAUUGGAUGAGCCUAUGUCUGAUUAGUUUGUUGGUGGGGUAAUGGCCUACCAAGGCGACGAUCAGUAGCUGGUCUGAGAGGACGAUCAGCCACACUGGGAUUGAGAUACGGCCCAGACUCCUACGGGAGGCAGCAGUGGGGAAUAUUGGACAAUGGGCGAAAGCCUGAUCCAGCAAUGCCGCGUGUGUGAAGAAGGCCCGAGGGUUGUAAAGCACUUUCAACAGUAAAGAAAAGUUCGAUGCUAAUACCAUCGAACCCUGACGUUAGCUGUAGAAGAAGCACUGGCUAACUCCGUGCCAGCAGCCGCGGUAAUACGGAGGGUGCGAGCGUUAAUCGGAAUUACUGGGCGUAAAGCGUGCGUAGGUGGCUUGGUAAGUCGGAUGUGAAAGCCCCGAGCUCAACUUGGGAAUUGCAUUCGAUACUGCUAGGCUAGAGUAUGGUAGAGGGAAGUGGAAUUUCCGGUGUAGCGGUGAAAUGCGUAGAGAUCGGAAGGAACACUAGUGGCGAAGGCGGCUUCCUGGACCAAUACUGACACUGAGGUACGAAAGCGUGGGGAGCAAACAGGAUUAGAUACCCUGGUAGUCCACGCCCUAAACGAUGUCAACUAGCCGU